rnacentral:rRNA from 1 species
GCGAGGCAGAGCGAACCCCCAAAAGCCGUCCCAGUUCGGAUCGCAGGCUGCAACCCGCCUGCGUGAAGUCGGAAUCGCUAGUAAUCGCGGAUCAGCAUGCCGCGGUGAAUACGUUCCCGGGCCUUGUACACACCGCCCGUCACACCAUGAGAGUCGGGAACACCCGAAGUCCGUAGCCUAACCGAAAGGAGGGCGCGGCCGAAGGUGGGUUCGAUAAUUGGGGUGAAGUCGUAACAAGGUACC